rnacentral:rRNA from 1 species
UAAGACGUAGGAGGCGAGCGUUAUCCGGAAUUACUGGGCGUAAAGGGCGAGUAGGCGGCCCGUUAAGUCUAUGGUGAAAUCUCCCGGCUCAACUGGGAGGGAGUCAUAGAAACUGGGGGGCUUAAGGGCAGCAGAGGGAGGUGGAAUUCCCGGUGUAGUGGUGAAAUGCGUAGAUACCGGGAGGAACACCAGUGGCGAAGGCGGCCUCCUGGGCUGUACCUGACGCUGAGGCGCGAAAGCGUGGGGAGCAAACAGGAUUAGAUACCCUGGUAGUCCACGCCACAAACGAUGGACACUAGGUAUGGGGGGUAUCGACCCCCUCCGUGCCGAAGCUAACGCUUUAAGUGUCCCGCCUGGGGACUACGGCCGCAAGGCUA